CGGUUACUAUUCUAGGACAGGUUGAACCAACCAAACUUCAGUGGGGAGGGUACUUACCUAUGGAACUCAUGCAAGCCUUAAAACCUAGGGAUGAUUGUUGUGUGACUUGUCUCUGCUUGCAUAACAGCAUAACAUCAUAACAUCAUAACAUCAUGACAUCAUUGUACUAACCAUUUCAAGGACUUAGGGAUUUAACUUUGCUCUGUUUUGAAAAAAAAAAAAAAACAAAAAAAAAAGUUUCCCCUUUUGGUAGUUUAUGCAAAGUUAAAUUCCAAAAGGCCUUGAAAACAUUACAUACAUUGCAUAGCAUAACAUUGCAUAACAGGUGUUCUAAAGGGAUCAAUGUUCUCACGGUUUU
rnacentral:lncRNA from 1 species